rnacentral:rRNA from 1 species
GACGAACGCUGGCGGCGUGCUUAACACAUGCAAGUCGAACGAAGUGGCGAACGGGUGAGUAAUACGUGGGUAACCUGCCCUCCUUUUUGGGAUAAGCCUUGGAAACGGGGUCUAAUACCGAAUAAAGGGGGAUGGGCUCGCGGCCUGUCAGCUGGUUGGUGGGGUGAUGGCCUACCAAGGCGGUGACGGGUAGCCGGCCGGAGAGGGGGACCGGCCAUAUGGGGAUGGAGAUACGGCCCAGACUCCUACGGGGGGGAGCAGUGGGGGAUAUUGCACAAUGGGCGAAGACCUGAUGCGGGGACGCCGCGUGGGGGAUGAAGGCGUUCGGGUUGUAAACCUCUUUCGCAAUCGAACGGGUAGGUAGAGAAGAAGCACCGGCUAACUACGUGCCAGCAGCCGCGGUAAUUC